GAUGAACGCUGGCGGCGUGCCUAAUACAUGCAAGUCGAGCGAACAGACGAGGAGCUUGCUCCUCUGACGUUAGCGGCGGACGGGUGAGUAACACGUGGAUAACCUACCUAUAAGACUGGGAUAACUUCGGGAAACCGGAGCUAAUACCGGAUAAUAUAUUGAACCGCAUGGUUCAAUAGUGAAAGACGGUUUUGCUGUCACUUAUAGAUGGAUCCGCGCCGCAUUAGCUAGUUGGUAAGGUAACGGCUUACCAAGGCAACGAUGCGUAGCCGACCUGAGAGGGGGAUCGGCCCACACGGAACCGGGAACAGGUCCCAACUCCUAAGGGAGGGAGCAGUAGGGAAUCUUCCGCAAUGGGCGAAAGCCUGACGGAGCAACGCCGCGUGAGUGAUGAAGGUCUUCGGAUCGUAAAACUCUGUUAUUAGGGAAGAACAAAUGUGUAAGUAACUAUGCACGUCUUGACGGUACCUAAUCAGAAAGCCACGGCUAACUACGUG
rnacentral:rRNA from 1 species